GCAUAUCAAUAAGCGGAGGAAAAGAAACCAACAGGGAUUGCCCUUAGUAACGGCGAAGUGAAGCGGCAACAGCUCUUGCUGUCGAUCUGGCUUUGGUCCGAUUGUAAUUUGUAGAGGAUGAUUUUGGUGCGGUACUUUCCGAGUUCCCUGGAACGGGACGCCUUAGAGGGUGAGAGCCCCGUACGGUUGGAUGCCUAGCCUCUGUAAAUCUCCUUCGACGAGUCGAGUAGUUUGGGAAUGCUGCUCUAAAUGGGAGGUAAAUUUCUUCUAAAGCUAAAUACUAGCCAGAGACCGAUAGCGCACAAGUAGAGUGAUCGAAAGAUGAAAAGCACUUUGAAAAGAGGGUUAAAAAGCACGUGAAAUUGUUGAAAGGGAAGCGUUUAUGACCAGACUUUUUCUAGGCGGAUCAUCCGGUGUUCUCACCGGUGCACUUCGCCUAGUUUAGGCCAGCAUCGGUUUCUGUAGGGAGAUAAAAGCUUCAGGAAUGUGGCUCCCCCGGGAGUGUUAUAGCCUGUUGUAUAAUAUCCUUAUAGGGACCGAGGUACGCGCUCUGCAAGGAUGCUGGCAUAAUGGUCAUCAACGACCCGUCUUGAAACACGGACCCAAGGAGUAAGACAUUUGUGCGAGUGUUUGGGUGUUAAACCCUCACGCGUAAUGAAAGUGAACGGAGGUGAGAGCCUUUUGGUGCAUCAUCGACCGAUCCUGAUGUCUUCGGAUGGAUUUGAGUAGGAGCAUAACUGUUCGGACCCGAAAGAUGGUGAACUAUGCGUGGAUAGGGUGAAGCCAGAGGAAACUCUGGUGGAGGCUCGCAGCGGUUCUGACGUGCAAAUCGAUCGUCAAAUCUGCGCAUGGGGGCGAAAGACUAAUCGAACCAUCUAGUAGCUGGUACCG
rnacentral:rRNA from 1 species